UACAGAGGUCUCAAGCGUUGUUCGGAUUCAUUGGGCGUAAAGGGUGCGUAGGCGGCGCGGUAAGUCGGGUGUGAAAUCUCGGGGCUUAACUCCGAAACUGCAUUCGAUACUACGGUGCUUGAGGACUGGAGAGGAGACUGGAAUUCAUGGUGUAGCAGUGAAAUGCGUAGAGAUCAUGAGGAAGACCAGUGGCGAAGGCGGGUCUCUGGACAGUUCCUGACACUGAGACACGAAGGCCAGGGGAGCAAACGGG
rnacentral:rRNA from 1 species